rnacentral:rRNA from 1 species
GUGGGGAAUCUUGCGCAAUGGGCGAAAGCCUGACGCAGCCAUGCCGCGUGGAUGAUGAAGGUCUUAGGAUUGUAAAAUCCUUUCACCGGUGAAGAUAAUGACUGUAGCCGGAGAAGAAGCCCCGGCUAACUUCGUGCCAGCAGCCGCGGUAAUACGAAGGGGGCUAGCGUUGCUCGGAUUUACUGGGCGUAAAGGGCGCGUAGGCGGACAUUUAAGUCAGGGGUGAAAUCCCGGGGCUCAACCUCGGAACUGCCUUUGAUACUGGGUGUCUUGAGUAUGAGAGAGGUGUGUGGAACUCCGAGUGUAGAGGUGAAAUUCGUAGAUAUUCGGAGGAACACCAGUGGCGAAGGCGACAUACUGGCUCAUUACUGACGCUGAGGCGCGAAAGCGUGGGGAGCAAACAGGAUUAGAUACCCCGGUAGUCC